CCUACGGGAGGCAGCAGUGGGGAAUAUUGCACAAUGGGCGCAAGCCUGAUGCAGCCAUGCCGCGUGUAUGAAGAAGGCCUUCGGGUUGUAAAGUACUUUCAGCGGGGAGGAAGGCGACGGGGUUAAUAACCCUGUCGAUUGACGUUACCCGUAGAAGAAGCACCGGCUAACUCCGUGCCAGCAGCCGCGGUAAUACGUAGGUGCCAGCAGCCGCGGUAAUACGUAGGUGCCAGCAGCCGCGGUAAU
rnacentral:rRNA from 1 species